GCUCAGGACGAACGCUGGCGGCGUGCUUAACACAUGCAAGUCGAACGCUGAAGCCCGAGCUUGCUCGGGCGGAUGAGUGGCGAACGGGUGAGUAACACGUGAGUAACCUGCCCCUGACUCUGGGAUAAGCGCUGGAAACGGCGUCUAAUACUGGAUACGCGCACUGGUCGCAUGGCCUGGUGCGGGAAAGAUUUAUCGGUUGGGGAUGGACUCGCGGCCUAUCAGCUGGAUGGUGAGGUAAUGGCUCACCAUGGCGACGACGGGUAGCCGGCCUGAGAGGGUGACCGGCCACACUGGGACUGAGACACGGCCCAGACUCCUACGGGAGGCAGCAGUGGGGAAUAUUGCACAAUGGGCGCAAGCCUGAUGCAGCAACGCCGCGUGAGGGAUGACGGCCUUCGGGUUGUAAACCUCUUUUAGUAGGGAAGAAGCGCAAGUGACGGUACCUGCAGAAAAAGCACCGGCUAACUACGUGCCAGCAGCCGCGGUAAUACGUAGGGUGCAAGCGUUGUCCGGAAUUAUUGGGCGUAAAGAGCUCGUAGGCGGCUUGUCGCGUCUGCUGUGAAAACCCGGGGCUCAACCCCGGGCCUGCAGUGGGUACGGGCAGGCUAGAGUGCGGUAGGGGAGAUUGGAAUUCCUGGUGUAGCGGUGGAAUGCGCAGAUAUCAGGAGGAACACCGAUGGCGAAGGCAGAUCUCUGGGCCGUAACUGACGCUGAGGAGCGAAAGCAUGGGGAGCGAACAGGAUUAGAUACCCUGGUAGUCCAUGCCGUAAACGUUGGGAACUAGAUGUAGGGCCUGUUCCACGGGUUCUGUGUCGUAGCUAACG
rnacentral:rRNA from 1 species